UACGUAGGGGGCGAGCGUUGUUCGGAUUUACUGGGCGUAAAGGGCGCGUAGGCGGCGCGAGAAGUCGAGUGUGAAAGCCCCGGGCUCAACCUGGGAAUUGCGCUCGAGACUCUAGUGCUUGAGUUCGGGAGAGGAGCGUGGAAUUCCCAGUGUAGAGGUGAAUUCGUAGAUAUUGGGAAGAACACCAGUGGCGAAGGCGGUUCU
rnacentral:rRNA from 1 species